rnacentral:rRNA from 1 species
AGCGAACGCUGGCGGCAGGCCUAACACAUGCAAGUCGAACGAACCUUUCGGGGUUAGUGGCGGACGGGUGAGUAACACGUGGGAACGUGCCUUUAGGUUCGGAAUAACUCAGGGAAACUUGUGCUAAUACCGAAUGUGCCCUUCGGGGGAAAGAUUUAUCGCUUUUAGAGCGGCCCGCGUCUGAUUAGCUAGUUGGUUGAGGUAAUGGCUCACCAAGGCGACGAUCAGUAGCUGGUCUGAGAGGAUGAUCAGCCACAUUGGGACUGAGACACGGCCCAAACUCCUACGGGAGGCAGCAGAGGGGAAUCUUGCGCAAUGGGCGAAAGCCUGACGCAGCCAUGCCGCGUGAAUGAUGAAGGUCUUAGGAUUGUAAAAUUCUUUCACCGGGGACGAUAAUGACGGUACCCGGAGAAGAAGCCCCGGCUAACUUCGUG